AGCGAACGCUGGCGGCAGGCUUAACACAUGCAAGUCGAGCGGGUGUAGCAAUACAUCAGCGGCAGACGGGUGAGUAACGCGUGGGAACGUACCUUUUGGUUCGGAACAACCCAGGGAAACUUGGGCUAAUACCGGAUAAGCCCUUACGGGGAAAGAUUUAUCGCCGAAAGAUCGGCCCGCGUCUGAUUAGCUAGUUGGUGAGGUAAUGGCUCACCAAGGCGACGAUCAGUAGCUGGUCUGAGAGGAUGAUCAGCCACAUUGGGACUGAGACACGGCCCAAACUCCUACGGGAGGCAGCAGUGGGGAAUAUUGGGCAAUGGGGGCAACCCUGAUCCAGCCAUGCCGCGUGAGUGAUGAAGGCCCUAGGGUUGUAAAGCUCUUUUGUGCGGGAAGAUAAUGACGGUACCGCAAGAAUAAGCCCCGGCUAACUUCGUGCCAGCAGCCGCAGUAAGAC
rnacentral:rRNA from 1 species